rnacentral:rRNA from 1 species
CCUACGGGGGGCUGCAGUGGGGAAUAUUGGACAAUGGGCGCAAGCCUGAUCCAGCAAUACCGCGUGUGUGAAGAAGGCCUGAGGGUUGUAAAGCACUUUUAAUAGGGAGGAACACCUGUAGGCUAAUACCCUGCAGUAUGACAUUACCUAUAGAAAAAGCACCGGCUAACUCCGUGCCAGCAGCCGCGGUAAUACGGAGGGUGCAAGCGUUAAUCGGAAUUACUGGAGGUGGUGCUUUAAUAGACGGUUAAAAGCCCCGGGCUUAACCUGGGAACUGCAUUUGAUACUGGGUAACUCGAGUUUAGUAGAGGAGAGUGGAAUUUCAGGUGUAGCGGUGAAAUGUGUAGAGAUCUGAAGGAACACCAGUGGCGAAGGCGACUCUCUGGACUAAAACUGACGCUGAGGUACGAAAGCGUGGGUAGCAAACAGGAUUAGAUACCCCGGUAGUC